GAAAGGAGGGGAACAAGCAUCUCUUCUUAGAAUAUCUUCAUUUCUGACAAGAUGGUUAUAGCUCCUCCUUUCCCACUACAUGAACAUCAUCCCUAAAGCUGAGUGCUUCAUCAAAGAGGAUAACCUUGUCCAACAGAAACAACAUUCUCCAGUUGAGGGUAUAAGAGCAACUGUAUUACCACUCCAGAAGGAACUGCCAGAAGAGGAUCUCAAUGUCCUUCUGCAAGAACAUAGAGUAGUCGGGCCAUAUAAAUUAUAUAUUGCAUGUAGCAAUCUGUAUUUCU
rnacentral:snRNA from 1 species